rnacentral:rRNA from 2 species
UGACUGGGGCGGUCUCCUCCUAAAGAGUAACGGAGGAGCACGAAGGUUGGCUAAUCCUGGUCGGACAUCAGGAGGUUAGUGCAAUGGCAUAAGCCAGCUUGACUGCGAGCGUGACGGCGCGAGCAGGUGCGAAAGCAGGUCAUAGUGAUCCGGUGGUUCUGAAUGGAAGGGCCAUCGCUCAACGGAUAAAAGGUACUCCGGGGAUAACAGGCUGAUACCGCCCAAGAGUUCAUAUCGACGGCGGUGUUUGGCACCUCGAUGUCGGCUCAUCACAUCCUGGGGCUGAAGUAGGUCCCAAGGGUAUGGCUGUUCGCCAUUUAAAGUGGUACGCGAGCUGGGUUUAGAACGUCGUGAGACAGUUCGGUCCCUAUCUGCCGUGGGCGCUGGAGAACUGAGGGGGGCUGCUCCUAGUACGAGAGGACCGGAGUGGACGCAUCACUGGUGUUCGGGUUGUCAUGCCAAUGGCACUGCCCGGUAGCUAAAUGCGGAAGAGAUAAGUGCUGAAAGCAUCUAAGCAC